CAGUAGCCGCGGUAAAACGUAGGUGGCAAGCGUUGUCCGGAAUUAUUGGGCGUAAAGGGCUCGCAGGCGGUUUCUUAAGUCUGAUGUGAAAGCCCCCGGCUCAACCGGGGAGGGUCAUUGGAAACUGGGAAACUUGAGUGCAGAAGAGGAGAGUGGAAUUCCACGUGUAGCGAUGAAAUGCGUAGAGAUGUGGAGGAACACCAGUGGCGAAGGCGACUCUCUGGUCUGUAACUGACGCUGAGGAGCGAAAGCGUGGGGAGCGAACAGGAUUAGAUACCCGCGUAGUCCCUGUCUCUUAUAC
rnacentral:rRNA from 1 species